rnacentral:rRNA from 1 species
GACUGCCAGUGAUAAACUGGAGGAAGGUGGGGAUGACGUCAAGUCAUCAUGGCCCUUACGACCAGGGCUACACACGUGCUACAAUGGCGCAUACAAAGAGAAGCGACCUCGCGAGAGCAAGCGGACCUCAUAAAGUGCGUCGUAGUCCGGAUUGGAGUCUGCAACUCGACUCCAUGAAGUCGGAAUCGCUAGUAAUCGUGGAUCAGAAUGCCACGGUGAAUACGUUCCCGGGCCUUGUACACACCGCCCGUCACACCAUGGGAGUGGGUUGCAAAAGAAGUAGGUAGCUUAACCUUCGGGAGGGCGCUUACCACUUUGUGAUUCAUGACUGGGGUGAAGUCGUAACAAGGUAACCGUAGGGGAACCUGCGGUUGGAUCACCUCCUUACCUGAAAGAA